rnacentral:tRNA from 1 species
GCCGCCCUAGCUCAGAUGGUAGAGCAACUCACUUGUAAUGAGUAGGUCCGGAGUUCGAGUCUCCGGGGCGGCUCCA